UAUUUCAUUUCGUCCACUGCACUAAUCCGCACACAAUUACAAGUUUUCAUAUUCCUACAAUCAUUGUCGUGAAUUUUAAUAGUCUCAAGGUCAUAAGGUAAUCCUGCUUUUGUCAUGGAGUGACACAUGAAAUGAGUCUUGUCAAUAUUAAGAGAUAAUAAACUAAAAUCCAGCCAUUUUUUAACCUCAACAAGAGCUUGUUCGGCCUUUUGAAACACUUCAUCCCACGUGCCACCCCCAACCAUGAGAGCUGUAUCAUCAGCGUAACAGACAACUUGCACACUUGUUAUUACCGAAAAUAUACUAUCCAUAUAGAGAGUGAACAAUAUUGGACCAAGGACUGUGCCCUGUGGCACACCACACCUCACUGGAAUUUUACUACUGUGAAUCUCGCCUAUCUUAACUUGCUGCUUCUAAGCGUUCCAUCAAGAUGUGGUGCGGCACAGUAUCAAAGGCCUUAGCCAGGUCCAGGAAGAUUGUCAUACAUUUUGUAUUGGUGUUAAAAGCAUUUAUUAUGUCGUCAGCUACCCUGACUAAAGCAUCCUCAGUUCCCAUUCCCGUCUUAAAACCAUAUUGAUUUGCAUUAAGGUAAACUCCAGACCCAAAGAUAGUAUUUACCAGAUGUAAAAGAGGCACUAUCA